CCCCUAGGCAGGCUCCUGCAGUACGUGUCUUCUGCAUCACGGGGCUCCUGCAGCUCUCAUGACUUCUGAAAUGCCAGACUCAUUCAGUGCAUAUAACUUAUACAGGGCCUGCUUCACUAACUCGAAUGGCUUAUGUAGCGCCUGGUUUCAGCAGUGCUCAGCUCAGCACCUCUCAUGAGUGGCUUCCUUGGCAUCUCUUGCAUGUCUGUAAUAGAGUGCUACUGGUCUGACACCACCCGUUGAAUGGCUUCUUCUGGAAAUCGCUCAGGUGACUUUGCAGAGAUAUCACAAUGAGAUAUCACCCCCACACUGGUCAAAAUGGCCAUCAUUAAAACGUCUGCAAAUAAAUUCUGGGGAAGGUGUGGAGAAAAGGGAACCCUCAGAACAGUAUGGAGUCUCCUUAAAAAAUUAAAAAUAGAGUUACCAUAUGAUCCUACUAUUCCACUCCUGGGCAUACAUCCAGAAAAUAUGAAAACUCUACUUCAAAAAGAUAUAUACCUCAGUGUUCACAGCAGCAGCAAUAUUUAUAAUAGCCAAGACAUGGAAGCAACAUACAUAUCCAUCAACAGAUGAAUGGGUGUACAUAUUUAUUUAUUAUUUGUACAUGCCAAUGGGCUUUCCUGGUGGCUCAGAUGGUAAAGAAUCUGCCCGCAAUGCAGAAGACUCAAGUUCUAUCCCUGGGUUGUAAGGAUCACCUGGGGAAGGAAAUGGCAACCCACUCCAGUAUUCUUGCCUGAAGAAUUCCGUGGACAGAGGAGCCUCUCAGACUAUGGUCCGUGGGGUUGCAAAGAGUCAGACAUGACUGAGCAAGUAAUACUUUAACUUUCAACUGUUUUAUCUCUCUUUCCUUUCUUUUUUUUUUGGUUGCAUUGCAAGGCAUGCGGGAUCUUAGUUUCCCACCCAGGGAUAGAAUCCAUGCUGCCAGCAGUGGAAGUGUGGAGUCUUGACCACUGGACUGCCAGGGAAAUCUAUUUCUUCUUCCACUUUUUAUUUUGUAUAUAUCAGUUGAUAGAGUCCAAAUUUACUAUAAUCUUUGUGAGAUCAUUAAAUUUCAAGUUUAAUAGAUUUAAAUUAAAUUCAAAUUAAUUAAACUCUGCUUUUUAAAUUAUUAUUUUUUAUUAUGUUAAGAAUACAAAUAAUAUGUACUUUCUUUAACAAAAUUUUAAUUGUACAAUACAACGUUGUUGAGUAUCAGCACGAUUUUGUACGGAAGAUCUCCAGAACUUAAUUAUCUUACAAAACUGAAACUUUAUAUCUGUUGAACAUCCACCCUCUAUAUCCUUCUCCCAGCCUCUGGAAACCAUCAUUCUACUCCCUGUUUCUAUGAGGUUGACUAUUUUAGAUAGCUCACAUAAGUGGAAUCAUGCAAUAUUUAUUCUGCUGUGGAGCUUAUCUUUGUAUAAUGUCCUCCAGGUUUAUCCAUGUUGUUGCAUAUGACGGGAACACCUUCUUUUUAAAGACUCAAUAAC
ensembl:lncRNA